UGUAACUUAAUAUAUCUGAAUGUUACACUGUGUUUAUGAUCGUUUGUAUCUAGUUGAUUAGCAAGAUUACUAGUAUAACAUGAAUUUUGUGACCUUGUUAUGCGUAUAAUUAUCAGUGUUUGGAUAUAGUCUAACACUGCUUUUUCACAUGGUUCAUCACUUUGUGUGGUAUAGACACUCAUUGAAGCACUGAUUUCACUGUUUCACUUAGCACUCACUUUGUUCUAUCUCCCUACACAUAACUCUUUAACAAUUCUCCUCCAUGUCAUCUAACUUGUACCCGAUCGUUUAGGUGUUUGCACUAUCCCCAUGGCAACCACUCUACUCCGGCGUGC